UCGAGCGGGCGUAGCAAUACGUCAGCGGCAGACGGGUGAGUAACGCGUGGGAACGUACCUUUUGGUUCGGAACAACACAGGGAAACUUGUGCUAAUACCGGAUAAGCCCUUACGGGGAAAGAUUUAUCGCCGAAAGAUCGGCCCGCGUCUGAUUAGCUAGUUGGUAGGGUAACGGCCUACCAAGGCGACGAUCAGUAGCUGGUCUGAGAGGAUGAUCAGCCACAUUGGGACUGAGACACGGCCCAAACUCCUACGGGAGGCAGCAGUGGGGAAUAUUGGACAAUGGGGGCAACCCUGAUCCAGCCAUGCCGCGUGAGUGAUGAAGGCCCUAGGGUUGUAAAGCUCUUUUGUGCGGGAAGAUAAUGACGGUACCGCAAGAAUAAGCCCCGGCUAACUUCGUGCCAGCAGCCGCGGUAAUACGAAGGGGGCUAGCGUUGCUCGGAAUCACUGGGCGUAAAGGGUGCGUAGGCGGGUCUUUAAGUCAGGGGUGAAAUCCUGGAGCUCAACUCCAGAACUGCCUUUGAUACUGAAGAUCUUGAGUUCGGGAGAGGUGAGUGGAACUGCGAGUGUAGAGGUGAAAUUCGUAGAUAUUCGCAAGAACACCAGUGGCGAAGGCGGCUCACU
rnacentral:rRNA from 1 species